rnacentral:tRNA from 1 species
UUAUGUUUUGGUGUAAAGGCACGUAAAGUUUUGAUCUUUAAAGAAAGGGUGCAAAUCUCUUAAAUAUAAU